UGUAGAUCUCUGUACAUGCAGGCAGACCCGUAUUGUCCAGGAGAAGCAACACAUACCUCUGUGAAAUUGCAGCUGUAUGCAGCACACAUCCACUGUGACGAGGUGUUUGGCAUCGUGGGAGAAAAUUUUACUUUUCCAGUAAAAUCAGGCCAAAACAUAACGGAAAUUUUAUGGACAAAAAACAAGAAUAAAGUGGCUGAAUGGGAAGGGCAAAAUGAAACUACAUAUUAUACUUCUCUUAUUGAUAGAGGCUUACUUAACAAGAAGAAUGGGUACUUGACGAUAUAUAACUUGGAGAAUAGUGAUGCUGGCACAUACGAGCUAACCUACUUGGAUUUUGUGAAAGAAAAUUAUGCCUUCACCUUCAUGCUUUCUGUGUUACCUCCCCCUUCAGAACCUGAAAUAACUUGCAACAUCAGUGGUGAUGACUUUGUUUUAAACUGUAUAGCAGAUUUCCCGAAGCCUCUGGAUUACUCUUGGAAGUUAGAUAGCACACUAGUCACUCAUCACACGACGGAAAUUGUCAUCCCUAACAAGAAUGUGGAUGUUUCCAAGAAAGCUGUAUGUUUAAUUAAAUUCUCUCAAACGGAAAGGAGCUCUGAAAUCUCUUUGAGUAAAUGCUUUCCAGAUGAAAAAGGAGACAGCUAUCAGAAAAGAAACAGAGACGCUCUUUGGGGGGCUUCUGUUUUCUUCCUUCUACCUGUAGGAAUAACAAUAUUCCUAUAUAUAAAAGGUAUUCUAUUUGUUUUGGUACAGCUAGAAGUAAACUUGAAAAGGGAAGAGCUUCUCAGAAGAGUCCAGUGCAUCACUCAGGAGAACACACGCCACUUUAUUCUGUGGAGAACCAAGAGCAGUUUCAUCUGGACAGAACUGCAUCUUCACAAGCUGUUGAUCAUGAGAAUGAAGAGCCUGAAGCAGAAGUGACCCAGGAUGCAGAAGGUGGAAAUGGGGAGCACCCUGAGGAACACUCCUAGCUGCAGUGAUGGAGAUCAGAGCAUCUGUGGGGUCACAUCUGUGGGGUCACACAGCUGCUUCUUGGGGUACAUCACCAUGAAGAAAGUGAAAAUUCAGAUCUUAAAUCAUAACCAAAUAACUACCUUGUGGAUCAAAUGACAAUGGAAGACGAGUGCUAGAAUUCAACAGUGAAGGAACUUCUAUCUUUUCUCAUGGAGGUUUUCCAGAAGCACUGAACUCAUCCAUAAAGAAGGGCUUUGAAGAUCGGCUGAGCUGUUCCCAGUGGCUAUUUUUGUUUUCUCAGAAGAAAUAGCCUCCUUUUCUAGUGUUAAUGCAUGAAGAUAAGUAGGCCAAACGACAGACAAAGUCUUUUGUAUUGUAUCAUGUCCAGUUUUAGCAAACGUUGCUCUACUUACAAAAUGCAAGAGCUAAGGCCUUUUUUAUAAUUGAUAUUUAGAGACUAAUAAUCAUGUCCAUUUACAUGAAUGUGGAUACACCAAAAACUCACCAGCUUUCUCUGCAAUUUUGGAUCAGUACCUUUUUACGGUCAGAAGAAAGACAGUUCAUCCUUCAGCAGUUCCAGAGGGAUGGAAGUUUGCAUUUGCUAGUCUUGGUUCUCCAGCAGGAACUCAACGCUCGAGACAAAUAUUUUCCAUGAUAACUAUGUCUUGGAAUUGGUAGAAAACUGGCAAACUGAUCACUUCUAAUGGUGGUUGACUUUGUGAUAAAGCUACACUUCCGUUUGUUGUUGCACUGGAACAAACCCGUUUGUCAAGACUGUACCUUAUCCCCUCCUCCAGAUCACUGAUGGAGAUGUUAAGUGGCACCAAUUCCUGCAUAGACCCUUUUAGUACUCCAGUUGUCUGUCAUCCAUGUAGACUACAACCUGUUAGCCACUACCACCUAAGCCCAAUCAUCCAACUGGUUCUUUACCUAUCUGUAGAACCACACGGAAUGGUUUGGGUUGGAAGGGACCUUUAAAGAUCAUCUAGACCAAUCCCCCUGCUGUGGGCAGGGUCGUCUUUCAUUAGACAUGGUUGCCCAAAGGCCAGUCCAACCUGACCUUGAAUACUCCACAGCUUCUCUGGGAGAUCCUGUUCCGGUGUCUCACCGCCCUUAUCAUACAAAAUGUCAUCUUAUGUCCAACCUAAAUCUACCCUCUUCCAGUUUAAAAGCAUUCCCCCUCGUCCUGUCACUACAUGCCUUGGUAAAAAGUUUUUCUCUGUCUGUCUUAUAGGUCCGCCUUAUGUAUUGAAAGUCUCUAUGAAGGUCUCUAUGAAACCUUGUUUUCUUCAAGCUGAACAACCCAAACUUUCUCAGCCUUUCUUCAUAGGAGAGGUGCUCCAACCUUCUGAUUGUCUUCAUGGCUCUCCUCUGGACCCACUACAACAGGUCCAUGUGUUUCUUGUCCUGGGAACAAUACUCCAAGUGGAGUCUCACAAGAGCAGAGUUGAAGGAGAUAAUCAGCUGCUGGUCACGCUUGUCUUCAUGCAGCCCAGAAUACAAUUGGUUUUCUGGGCUGCAAGUGCACAUUGCUGGCUCAUAUCUUUAAUGUUACAAGGUGCAGGAAAAGCCUUUCCUUUCCUAGCACCAUCCCUACCUGCCUGGGCAGCGCUCCUAAAUUCCUCCAUUGUAGCCUUCCCCUACAUCUAGUAGAAGCAAGUUUUGCACUGAAGCCCUGUCAGGAGCUCCCUGCUUAGCCAAGCUCAUCUCCUGAUUUGCCUGCCUGUUUUCCUGACCAUCAGGAUGGUCUGUGCUCAUGCUUGGAGAAAGUCCUCCUUAAAGGCCUGAUG